UCCCAGGUGGCUUAGUGGUAAAGCAUCUGACUGCCAGGGCAGGAGGCGCAAGUUCAAUCCCUGCAUUGAAAA
rnacentral:tRNA from 1 species